AAAGAAAAAACAAAAAAGAAAAGAUACAGAAAAAGAGAGGGUGGCAGGAGAGAGAAAAGUAAAAAAAAACCCAUUUUUACCGGCAAAAGCCGGAUGUGUAUGUUUUUUUUGCUGGUUCAACUUAUAUAUCUCUCGCAUUCUGUUUUUUUUUGGACACCUUUAAUUUCAUGGGUUUCUCUAACAACCCUUCUGUAAUUGAUGCAAGCUGGCAAUCCCUUUUAGUGCUGAGCAGAUUCCUGCUUCAAUCAAUCUACAGAUGGGCAAGGUGGGGAAACCUCGACUAGGUCUUGAUAAUCUUCAAAAGGGGCUUAGUCUUAAUUCCCUUUCCACAAGCUCUGCUGUUGCUGAUCGGGUUAUUGGGGUCGAAAGAAGGAUUGUGAUUAAUCUUGCUUCAAGUUGUUGCUUCGGUUUUCAGUCUGUACUUCACGCUGUUAGUCUGGAUUUCUUUUAACCCAUUUGAAGUGUUGGCAUACGUUACCUCUUUUUCCCUCAAUUGUUUCUGUUCCGAGAAGAAGGGAAAGUGGCAUUUUGUCCUCCUCGCGUUUCCUGGCUUUUUGUUUCAUAGCCCAGAAGCCUGUUUGGGUUUCUGCGAUGAAUAUUACUUGGUGAAGUUUCUAUGGCUAACUGAAGUAUGGAGAGGACCCGGCUGGAUUUAAGAGUCCAUCACUCAGGAUCAACACAGUCAGAGGAAUCAGCUUUGGAUCUGGAAAUGAAUUACAGCAGUCACCCUAAUCUUCCUUUAUUAAGUCCACCAACACUUCAAGCAUAUGCAUCAGGUGGUCAGCACUCUGAGAGCAAUGCUGCCUACUUCUCGUGGCCUACUUCUAGUAGAUUGAAUGGUGCUGCUGAAGAUCGAGCUAAUUACUUUGCAAACCUUCAGAAAGGGGUUCUACCUGAAACUCUAGAUCGUCUUCCAACGGGACAACAGGCAACCACCUUACUUGAGCUCAUGACUAUAAGGGCAUUCCACAGCAAGAUCUUACGCCGUUAUAGCCUUGGAACAGCAAUCGGGUAUCGUAUUCGACGGGGUGUAUUGACAGAUAGGCCAGCUAUUCUUGUAUUUGUUGCACGGAAGGUUCACAGACAGUGGCUGAGUCACACUCAGUGCCUGCCUUCUGCACUUGAGGGACCUGGAGGUGUAUGGUGUGAUGUGGAUGUUGUAGAAUUUUCAUAUUAUGGUGCUCCUGCUCCAACUCCUAAAGAACAGUUAUACUCUGAGCUUGUGGAUGGCUUACGUGGAAGUGAUCCAUGCAUUGGUUCUGGUUCUCAGGUAGCUAGCCAAGAGACUUAUGGAACUUUGGGUGCCAUUGUAAAGAGCCGAACAGGAAAUCGGCAGGUUGGUUUCCUCACUAACCGGCAUGUUGCGGUUGAUCUAGAUUACCCAAAUCAGAAGAUGUUUCAUCCUUUACCACCCAGCCUGGGACCUGGUGUGUACCUAGGAGCUGUAGAGAGAGCAACAUCAUUCAUCACAGAUGAUCUUUGGUAUGGGAUCUUUGCUGGUACAAACCCAGAGACCUUUGUACGAGCUGAUGGGGCGUUCAUUCCCUUUGCUGAUGAUUUUGAGAUUUCCAAUGUAACUACAUCUGUGCAAGGUGUAGGUGAGAUUGGUGAUGUCAAGUUCAUAGACUUGCAGUCUCCAAUCAACAGCCUCAUAGGGAAACAAGUUGUGAAGGUUGGAAGAAGCUCUGGCUUGACUACUGGGACAGUAAUGGCAUAUGCCCUUGAGUACAAUGAUGAAAAAGGGAUAUGUUUCUUCACUGAUUUUCUUGUUGUUGGGGAGAACCAACAGACCUUUGACCUUGAAGGUGAUAGUGGGAGCCUCAUCCUCAUGACUAGUCAGGACGGUGAGAAGCCACGACCAAUUGGAAUAAUAUGGGGUGGGACAGCCAAUCGGGGGAGGUUGAAGCUGAAAGUUGGCCAACCUCCUGAGAAUUGGACAAGUGGUGUUGAUCUCGGACGCCUUCUUGAUCUUCUAGAACUUGAACUCGUCACUACCAGUGAAGGACUUCAAGUAGCAGUGCAAGAACAAAGAACUGCUUCAACAGCAGCCUUGGACUCUAUUGUUGGAGAAUCAUCACCUGCAGAGGGAACACAUCUGAAGGACAAAACUGGGGAAAUCUUUAAGCCUCUGGGUUUUAAUCUUCAGCAAAUCCCCAUUGAAGAUCGACCGCAGACAAUGACUCACCCUUUUACACACACUGAAUUUCAUGUAGAUGGGGUCGAGGCACUUCCCAGUGUUGAGCAUCAGUUCAUUUCCAACUUCAUUGGACAAUCUCCAGUGCAUCAAAAAGAUCAGCAGGACCACCCAGAGUCAAAGGGCCUUUCUGCAUUAAGGAAUUGCUCUGGUGAAGACCUUUGUGUUUCACUGCAUUUGGGAGAACGUGAACCCAAGAGAAGACGCUCGGGGUCCUCUUUCAGUAUUGAAGAACAGUAAUGAUUGGAAAGUGUUUAAAUAACAAGGGGGGAUUGCCUCAUUUUGCCUGUGGACCCUUCUUUGAGAUGUGUUCUGAAGAGGGUCCUUCCGACCAAAGUUUGCACCAUGGGGCUCAUGAAUAUUUCAUUGGAGUUAUCUGGAUUAUAUGGAUGGAUCACAUCAGGGGAACAUGACUGAUUCAAGUGGAAUUCACCAUCAACGAUCUUUGAAGCUCAGAAUCCGACCAAAUCAAUGAUUUGGGCAGUUUUUGCCUUUUUCCUGAGUCCGGGGGUCAUAAUAUUUUUAAUAGAAAAUGUGAGAACAGUACCUUUUUUUGUUAUUCUCCAUAGAAUUAUGUUCGUUUACUGAUUGUAACUCUUGAAGUGGCAGUUCCAGCAGAAAGUAAACCUUGGCAGGUCAACUUGAAUCAAGUUGUCAGUGACAUUGCAAAUGAUCUUGCUCUGGUAUUGUUGGUCACUUUGACCUGAGAAAAUGCUAAAAAACCAGAAAAAUGGCAAAACAGAAUGUUCAAACUUUUAGUCCGGAUGGGCCUGGCAUGGUAUUCAUUGUAGAUAUGGUGGUUGUGAUAUUGGUGUCCAGUUCUGACAUGUCAAAAAGAGGACCUCUUUUUCCAUGUGCUUUCCAAGAAGAAGAGUCAAGCUCUGUUGCUUACAAGGCUGGGUUGGUUGAUUGCCAAACUGCAAAUUUCAUUUUUAUCAAGUAAAAUGUUUAGGAGGUGAGUUCAACUUAGGUUCACCGUUCACGUGGUGGUUGUAUAUCUGAUCUGCUAUCUGCAUUCCUUCCGUUUGUAUCGUCUUGUCUGAAUUCUUGAAGUGUGGCUGGCCACCUCUUCCGCCCUUCUACAACCUGGGUUGGAAAGUUCACUGCAACAAGGUGUCAAAACCUCAGUGCGUCAGUUUUGGGAGUUGGCACUUGGAAGUUGGUUUCCUGAUGAAAGGGAUCAGUUCUUGAGAACUUCUGAUCAAUGUUUUCAAAACGGGACCAGACCGGACGGUUGGACCAGAAAAACUGGGAACCAGUUACCUGACCAGUUCCGUUUCAUCCCAAAACCAUGGGCGGGUGAACCGUUGAACCAUCAACCUGGAUUAUGGUUUUUGGUCUUUUUUGUUAUUUUUUUUUUAUUUUUUGUUAGAGUGGGCCGUCCGCUUGGACCAGAUGGUUGGACUGUUUGACCUGGAGCAGUUCCCUGUCUGGUCUAAUUUUAAAAACCUUGCUUUUGAGGAUUAUCAUGUAACUGCUUGUUUAUCAGAAUUCAGGCUUCUUAGAGGAGAUGAAAGAUUUUUGAGUUCUUUGUUUCUUA